rnacentral:ncRNA from 1 species
ACAAAGGCUUUGAAUGAGGAAAGUAGCUGGAUCCAAACCAACAGGGAGGCUUGGGGCUACGACUGAGACCCCACCAGGCAGAAAUCCAGUGAAGUUCCCUCGGGAGCCGUCCGGGUGAAUGUGUGUCACACUAGUAGCGCGGAACGCAGCCCAAGCGUUAAUCUGGGAACCGAUCGCCAUGCAGCUGUCGGACGAAGAGAGUCGCUUAAGCGACUAACAAGGGUGGUACCGCGGGAAACGCCUCCCGUCCCUUGA